GAUGAACGCUGGCGGCGUGCCUAAUACAUGCAAGUCGAGCGAACGGAUAAGGAGCUUGCUCCUUUGAAGUUAGCGGCGGACGGGUGAGUAACACGUGGGUAACCUACCUAUAAGACUGGAAUAACUUCGGGAAACCGGAGCUAAUGCCGGAUAACAUUUGGAACCGCAUGGUUCUAAAGUAAAAGAUGGUUUUGCUAUCACUUAUAGAUGGACCCGCGCCGUAUUAGCUAGUUGGUAAGGUAACGGCUUACCAAGGCAACGAUACGUAGCCGACCUGAGAGGGUGAUCGGCCACACUGGAACUGAGACACGGUCCAGACUCCUACGGGAGGCAGCAGUAGGGAAUCUUCCGCAAUGGGCGAAAGUCUGACGGAGCAACGCCGCGUGAGUGAUGAAGGUUUUCGGAUCGUAAAACUCUGUUAUUAGGGAAGAACAAAUGUGUAAGUAACUGUGCACAUCUUGACGGUA
rnacentral:rRNA from 1 species